AGAAGGAGAGGAGGAGGGAGAGCAUUAGGGUGGUGGGGCAGGCACGGGGCAGGCUGGCCCAGGGCAGUGGGGCUCAGCUGCUGGAGCAGGCUGAGGAGCCACAUGGAGCUCCACUUGUGCAGCAGGUGGGCAAGGCAUUGGUGUGGGCUGGGGCUGAAGCUGGAUCCAGCCCUAGCUCUGGAGGCCACUGGUGAGCCUGAGCUGGGCUGACCUGACACCUGUCAGGUCAAGAGGAGAAGGGAUGAGUGUGAGUUCACUGUUCUUUCAGUAUCACAAAUCCUGCCCACUGCCUUCCAGAGCAGGUGCUAUCCACAGGGUCUCCCCCCCAGGAGUCUUCUGCCAAGACAGAGAUCUCGCUGAUGCUGUGCCCUUUUCCCACUUGAAGAAGCUCUGUUCUGCAUGCCUUUCCAGCCCAUUUUCUUUUCGCUUCAGGUCUCGGUCCUCCUCUCCUCAUGGGCAGGCUGUGCCCCAUUGAGCUCCUCAUGGAGGGAGUCAGCUGGGUGCACCAGGUGGGAGCCAGUGAAGCUCAGCCUCACCUUGGGCCAGUGCCCUGUUAGGUGGGUCCUGAUGAAGCCCCGGGCAGAAGGCUGGAGCCAGGCAUCCAAGAGCAAGGGCACAACCUGAGAGUGGUCUUGGGGGACUGCAAGAAAAAAAAGAGUUAGUGGCUGCACUCCACUUCUAUAAAAUAAAUGCCAGUGGCUGGAAAUUGACCUUGGACAGAGAAUGAACAUCACAGAUUUGGCCUCCUCUGAUCAGCUAUCUCCUGAUGUUCAGUGACAGUGGGAAGAACUAGAAGCAAUGUCAAUGUGAAGAAAGCAUCUGGUUACUGACCUACGAGAGGGUCAAGAAUGUUCAAGGUUGCUACCAGCUGACCCACCGUGCCUCCAGCCUCACUGGGAUGAACCCCAGGGUUUCUGAGCAUGGCUCUUUAUGGGGCCCACAGCUAAUGUAACAGCCAAAGUUUCAGUUCUACUGCCACCUAAGAGGACCAAGUAACUGAAGAGAGGAAGUGGAGAGACCAGAAACGAUUUUAGCAAGAAGGUGACAUGUCAGAAGAUGAAGGGAGCAGAGCUGCUUAUGCCAUGGAAACAACCUCCAGAAUGUGCAGAUGGAGAACUUCAGAGUGUGGCAUAUUCUCCAGGCGCUUCUCCCUAGGACCAGGGCACCACAACCCAGAGACCAUGUUGGCCUGAUAAGAGUAUGUCUACCAGACUCAGCAUACACCUUCAGCAAGAUUUACUCUUGUCAAUCUUAGUAUCAGAGCUUCCUGUGUUCCACUGGCAGAGUGGCUCAAGUGGUAGAGCGCCUGCCUAGCAAGUGUGCAUUCCCUGAGUUCAAACCCCAGUACUGCCCCCCAAAAAAAGUUCAGAGCUUUCUGUGUUCCCUUUAAGACUGCCCUUACUCAGCUGCCACACAGCCCCAAGCAAGGAUCCCUAGAGUGCUAUAGAGCUCCAUGUUCUUGUGUCGGGCCAACACAUUCCUCUAAUGUCAGAGUUCACACACAGCCUCUCAAGGAGGGUAAAUCUGGAUCUGAUCAUCACCUGCCCCUUACGACUUAAGAGAACUGCAUCUGUGGCCCUCAGUCCCAGGCGUCCUUCUCAGGAGGACCUGGAAAUUUAACAUUCCCUUAUUUGAGUCCAAUCUCUUGCUGAUGCCUCAAUCCCUUUCCCUGUGACUUCAACAAAAACCUCUGUGUUCUCAACUUACCUGAUCUUCCUUUCAUCUUCAUGUAACUGUACUUAUCUUUCUUGGUGUGCCAUGGUAUUUGUGUCAGCUCUUUUGGUAUUUGUGUUUACUCUUUUGUCCCUGUCCCCUUCCUCCCUGCAGUCUACAGAUGCCUCAGUCCUGAUCAUCCUCACCACUCAGGCCAGGAGUCUGAGAACAUCACACAGCACUGUGAUGGAACUAGGAGAGGAUGCCACCCUGACAGCUUCAAGAGCUAAUGAAGACCUCAGGCAGUGACUCCAUCUGGCCUUAGCCGUGGUCAUGCAGAGUGUCGCUGCUAGCUAUCGUAAGUAAAAUCUGCCUUUAAAGAGCUAACAUAGGGAAUGGCACAUUGGGCAAGUAAACAGCUUCUUAAUCCUUAUUUUCUAUUCUUGAGGAAUUUUUCCUUUCUAUUUUUGAAGAAUUUUCCACUAUGUGAAUAAUUAUCAGGAACAUCUACUAUUGAAGCUGAAGGAGUCAGACUUUCCUUCUCUCCCAACUGGCCUUGAUAGUGUGGGUGCAGGAUUUAAGGACAACAAAUCACAGAAGUGUGUGCGUGCACACACAUACACAGCGUUCUGAAUUAGGAGCAGCUAGGAAGUUUUUCUGUGGUGGCUGUGCUACCUGAUCAGUGACAAGAAAUGAGUGAUGCAGCAGCAAAGGGUGAAGCCUGAGGAAAUGAUGGUGAUGACACCACAGAGCCAGGGACAGUUCAAGCCAAACCCACUGGAACAAGUCUUCCCUGUGUUCUGCUUCCUGGCUGCCCUUGGUUCCAUCCUUCCCAUUGACAGUGGACUACUUCACUGCCUCCUGGGCUGCUUUUCAGUUUCAGCUGGUCAGUAUCAGCACCUAUUGCUUGUAGUUCAGAACUCUGUGUGACUCACCUACUAACCCAGCCAGGGCUUCCAUGCUGACCAACUCAGGGGGCGCCGAAGACAACACAAAAACGGCAGUUCUAGAGUUAUGCAGCAUGGUCCCACAAAAUCUACCUUAGUGACAGCAAGAACUAUGUGUCAAUGUGUGUCUACAAGACAGAACACAGACUAGGAAGAUAAACAGUAUUUACUUCGUUACAUAUUUGAAUAACAAAAACAAUUACAUUAUAAUCCUAAUCAUUUAAACAUAGGCUUUCUAGUGCCGUCAGGUAUGUUCAACUCUCUUUUUUUUUUUUUUUUC